UACGAAGGGUGCAAGCGUUACUCGGAAUUACUGGGCGUAAAGCGUGCGCAGGCGGUUGUGCAAGACCGAUGUGAAAUCCCCGGGCUUAACCUGGGAAUGGCAUUGGUGACUGCACGGCUAGAGUGUGUCAGAGGGGGGUAGAAUUCCACGUGUAGCAGUGAAAUGCGUAGAGAUGUGGAGGAAUACCGAUGGCGAAGGCAGCCCCCUGGGAUAACACUGACGCUCAUGCACGAAAGCGUGGGGAGCAAACAG
rnacentral:rRNA from 1 species